rnacentral:rRNA from 1 species
GACGAACGCUGGCGGCGUGCUUAACACAUGCAAGUCGAACGGAGUGGCGAACGGGUGAGUAAUAUGUGGGUAACCUGCCCUCCUUUUUGGGAUAAGCCUUGGAAACGGGGACUAAAUACGGAAAACGGGGGAUGGGCUCGCGGCCUAUCGGGUUGGUGGGGGGGUGAUGGCCCACCAAGGCGGUGACGGGUAGCCGGCGUGAGAGGGUGACCGGCAACAUUGGGACGGAGAUAAGGCCCAGGCGCCGGCGGGAGGGAGCAGUGGGGGAUAUUGGACAAUGGGCGAAAGCCUGAUGCAGCGAGGACGCGUGGGGGAUGAAGGCUUUCGGGUUGUAAACCUCGUUCGGUAGCGAACGGGUAGGUGGAGAAGAAGCGCCGGCUAACUACGUGCCAGCAGCCGCGGUAAUAC